rnacentral:rRNA from 1 species
CCCAGACUCCUACGGGAGGCAGCAGUGAGGAAUAUUGGUCAAUGGACGCAAGUCUGAACCAGCCAAGUAGCGUGCAGGAUGACGGCCCUCCGGGUUGUAAACUGCUUUUAGUUGGGAAUAAAAGGGGGCUCGUGAGCCCCGUAUUGUAUGUACCAUCAGAAAAAGGACCGGCUAAUUCCGUGCCAGCAGCCGCGGUAAUACGGAAGGUCCGGGCGUUAUCCGGAUUUAUUGGGUUUAAAGGGAGCGUAGGCCGGCUUUUAAGUCAGCUGUGAAAGUCCGCGGCUCAACCGUAAAAUUGCAAUUGAUACUGGCAGUCUUGAGUACAGUUGAGGUAAGCGGAAUUCGUGGUGUAGCGGUGAAAUGCUUAGAUAUCACGAAGAACCCCGAUUGCGAAGGCAGCUUACUAAACUGUGACUGACAUUGAUGCUCGAAAGUGUGGGUAUCAAACAGGAUUAGAUACCCCAGUACU